rnacentral:tRNA from 1 species
GCAGUGGUGGUUAGGUGGUAGAAUUCUCACCUUUCAUGUAGGAGACCUGGGUUCAAAACCUGGCCAAUGUA